AAGUCGUAACAAGGUUUCCGUAGGUGAACCUGCGGAAGGAUCAUUAACACGUAUCCAACGUUAAACAACCCUGUGAACCUUCAUUCCUGCUCUCCUUGUCCAUUGAUAAAGCAAUCCCUGGUAAAUCACGCGAACGGUUUGAUUCAGGGACCUCUUUUGAUAUGCACUUGGAUUCGAUGCGGCGUCGUAAUUUAGACUUGGGUUCUGGAAGGCCAUCAACGAGUAAAAUCGUUGACGGACGAUAAAGAUGCUGCCUAAAAAGCAGAUCACUGGUCCUCACGGUCAGUGGACAAGUCUCUGGGCUUCGGCCGCCCAUAUUAACCCCAAUUUUCCAUUCGGAGGAUGCGGAAACGCUCCUCAUAAAAACGAACAACUGUUAACAAUGGAUAUCUUGGUUCUC
rnacentral:misc_RNA from 1 species